rnacentral:rRNA from 1 species
GGGACAACCCGCCGAAAGGCGGGCUAAACCCGCGUACAUGCCACCGGGGCAUCCCGGAGGCAGGAAAGGCUUCGGCCGGACAGGGAUGGGCAUGCGGCGCAUUAGGCAGUAGGCGGGGUAACGGCCCACCUAACCGACGAUGCGUAGGGGUUCUGAGAGGAAGGUCCCCCACACUGGUACUGAGACACGGACCAGACUCCUACGGGAGGCAGCAGUGAGGAAUAUUGGUCAAUGGUCGGGAGACUGAACCAGCCAAGCCGCGUGAGGGAGGAAGGUACAGAGUAUCGUAAACCUCUUUUGUCAGGGAACAAAGACUGGGACGCGUCCCCGGAUGAGUGUACCUGAAGAAAAAGCAUCGGCUAACUCCGUGCCAGCAGCCGCGGUAAUACGGAGGAUGCGAGCGUUAUCCGGAUUUAUUGGGUUUAAAGGGUGCGCAGGCGGUCUGUUAAGUCAGCGGUCAAAGCCCGGGGCUCAACCCCGGCCCGCCGUUGAAACUGGCAGUCUCGAGUUGGAGAGAAGUAUGCGGAAUGCGCGGUGUAGCGGUGAAAUGCAUAGAUAUCGCGCAGAACUCCGAUUGCGAAGGCAGCAUGCCGGCUCCACACUGACGCUGAGGCACGAAAGCGUGGGUAUCGAACAGGAUUAGAUACCCUGGUAGUCCACGCAGUAAACGAUGAAUGCUGGCUGUCCGGG